rnacentral:rRNA from 1 species
AGACGGGCCCCGCACAAGCAGCGGAGCGUGUGGUUUAAUUCGAUGCUACACGAAGAACCUUACCAGGGUUUGACAUGCAAGUGGUAGGAAACCGAAAGGUGACCGACCCUUCGGGGAGCUUGCACAGGUGCUGCAUGGCUGUCGUCAGCUCGUGUCGUGAGAUGUUCGGUUAAGUCCGCUAACGAGCGCAACCCUCGCUGUGUGUUAUAUGUGUCACACGGGACUGCCGGUCUUAAGCCGGAGGAAGGUGGGGAUGAUGUCAAGUCAGCAUGGCCUUUAUAUCCUGGGCUACACACACGCUACAAUGGCCAGCACAGUAGGUUGCUAAGCCGCGAGGUGGAGCCAAUCCAUAAAGCUGGUCUCAGUUCAGAUUGCAGGCUGCAACCCGCCUGCAUGAAGCCGGAAUCGCUAGUAAUCGCGGACCAGCAUGCCGCGGUGAAUACGUUCCCGGGGCUU